GCCGGGUGUGGUGGUGGGUGCCUGUAAUCCCAGCUACUCGGGAGGCUGAGGCAGGAGAAUCGCUUGAACCCGGGAGGUGGAGGUUGCAGUGAGCCAAGAUCGCACCAUUGCACUCUGGCCCCUGGGCGACAAGAGUGAAAAUCUGUCUUAAAAAAAAAAAAAAGAUACAGGGUCUUGUUAUGUUGCCCAGGCUGGAGGGCAGUGGUGCAAUCAUGGCUCACUGCAGCUUCCAGCUCCGGGCUCAAGUGAUCCUCCCAC
rnacentral:lncRNA from 1 species